UAGACUACAAAUUCAUGAAUUUCUCAUCUCAAGCAUUCGUAAAGUCCACUUCCGUUUCAAAAUACAAAUCGUAGAACAUUUUAAUGUUGAUCAAGCAAUAAAAAUCAUUAAGCACAGAGAUGAGAAAAAUAAUUCAAUAAACUCAUUCAUAUAAAUAGAAAUCAAAUCAUAAAAAUAAGGGUUUCAUCUUGUUACACUCAUCCCUAACAAAUAGGGUUUAGUUACUCAUGACAGAGAUAAAAGAUAUAGAGAUUAGAGAAGAAUUACAAGAAGGAUUCAUGAAUGAUUCUUGAUAAAACUGCUCCAAUGAUGUUAGAAACGGCCGUCUUUGAGUUUCUAUGCUAGGGCAUAAGUCUCCCAACUUCCCAAUAGUGAAAAA
rnacentral:lncRNA from 1 species